GGGCCGUUAGCUCAAUUUGGCAGAGCAGGUGACUCUUAAUCACUCGGUUGCAGGUUCGAGUCCUGCACGGCUCA
rnacentral:tRNA from 1 species